GUGGGAGGUGCACCGCCGGGGCCGAACUGAGAAUGCGCACCGGGGGGCGCGGGGCGGGCUGGGAACCUGCGGGCGCUUUGCAAAGACGCCCACCCGGGGGCGGAGUUGUGGUGACGCUGCUCUGGGCGUAGCAGGGACCCGGGUCCUAGCUCCGGCUGGGCUCUGCCCCUUCAACGUCCAGUCGCUUGACCUCUCUGUGCCAAGAAUGCUUUCCAGCCGUUCUCCAUAUCCAGGAUGCAUGCAAAUCGAACCUUCGCCCACAGUGAGGCUACAUAAGUUCUAAGUGCUCUUGAGUAGGAGAAACUCAAAACAUCCGCAGGAGACGUAAUAAACGGCUUUGGCAAAUUUAGGAAAUUAUUAACUAAAAGCAUCAGAGGGACUCUCCCAACACUGACAUACCUGUGGCUACUAGUUGCGGUGCUAAGCCUCGCUGAGAGCUCAGACCGGCCACCAAAGUUAGCCCAGCGGGAGAUGCAGUUGCUAGGUACCGCACGCCCGACUCUCUGCGGGAUUCUUAGGUAGGGGCGGGCCGACCUGCUAGCUCCACCCCUCUCGGGCCGCCUUACUAAACUGACCUCUCAGCAGGAGCUUAAAAGCAACACAAGGUUGCCACCUGCUGUUGGCCUGGCGCUUCCCAGGCGGAGCCGGAAGCUGCUGGUACCGUAGCUGGGCAGUAGCCUCUGCCGUCCGCGGUGCCUAGCCCGGUGCAGCCGGGUGGGGUUGGGGGAGUGCCACCAAAACGGGAGGCAGCAAUAGGAAGUAGGGAAUUCAUCAAUCCGGCUAAGUUUAGAGCCCUGCUCCUCCAUCCUAGAUGUGUGGCCUUGAGGGAGCUGUUCGACCUGUUUGAGCUUUGGUUUCCUCUAAUGGAAGGCUCUGGUUUCUGUGGUGGGGACACCAAGGCAGUGCCCUUUGAGAUGCCAAGAAAAGCAGAAGUUGCCUGCCGUGGCAGAGUCCUUGCCAACAGCCUGGAGUCCACUACUCCCAAGAUAGGGAUGAACAGGUCAAGCAAAUACCCUGGAGCUUUCAAGCACUCCAACUUUCCUGAAGAAGCCUAGUGAGUUGGGAGAGGUGGUUGAGAUAAGCAGGGCUCCUCCAGCUUUAGCCAGUCCUGGCUGGGAGCCUGCUGGCGGAGCCUGCUGGCAGAGCCUGUGAGGACCUCAACCUAGGCUCCAUAUUAGAGCAGAAACAUAAACAUCCAGGCUCAGGCUGCCACAUACCUUCACCCCCUUGUUCUCUGCCAUUACAGUAGGGAGCUGCUGAGAGGGAACCACACAUCCCAACCCCUGGUGGUCGGGGCCGGGAGGCUCCAGCGUGAUCCUGAUUCAGGCUACCCCCACCCAGGUCCAGCUUGUGCCCAUAUUCUCUGCUCUGCGGUUUAAAUAACACUGAAGCUGUUUCCAAGGUCAGUGGGCCUGGCCCUAGGAAAGCUGCAGAAGGAAGUCUUCCAUCCCAAACUGUGGUUUCCACUGGGAGUGGCUCUCUGGCCAUUCUGGGGCCAGAUGAGAGAAGCCAUUUAGGCCAAGAAUAGACGAGGGGAGUGGGGCGUUUCCUCUAGCCUUCCUGGUCCUUUAAGUGUCUGAUGUGGUGUCCGGCUCCCCUCCAUUUCUUCCUCCAGCUGGGCCCGGUAUGAGGUGGGGCCCACCCCAGAACCUUGAGAACCAAAGAUAAAUAAGACAGACUCUGUCCUCAGGCUGCUCGCAGAGGAGGCGGGGAGACAGACACAGAACAGGAAGAAACCCUCUGCUGCAGGGAGAUAAGGGUUCAGCUGGGCUGACCAGGGGACUGGGCCCUGCAAAAGAGAAGGCUUCAGAAGAGAGGACAAUGAGCUGACUCUUGCUGGAAGGAUGGGACUUUACAGGUGGGCGAGGAUGCAGCCCGUCCCAAGGCCUGGAGGGGAGGAAAGGGGUGGCGUCUUGGGGGAACUCGGCAGCCAGAGCACACUGCGAGGCCACGGGGAAGGUGCAGGUUGAGUCAGGGUCCUGAGCCCCAAAUUCAGUCCCUGUUCUGGGUGAGCACCUGCCAUGUCCAGGUGGUGUCUGGAUUGUCUCAGGUUGGGGGCGGGGGCACCUUCACCCUCCUCACCCAUUCCUUCUGAUGCCGGUUCGUACUACUUUGGGCAGAGCAGCCAUGAACCAGGAUGUUUACCCUCCUAUGAGCUGAGUCUGCAGAAUGAAAUCCCAGACUUCUCCAAAAAAGAAGCCAGGGUGACAGCUGGCAGCUUCAUGAGCAUCUGAAAUCAUAGGAAACUUUGACCAGAGAGGGGGAAGAGGGAGGACACCAGCUGGGUUCCUAGGAUGCUUGGCUUCUAACCCAGAGAUCUCAACCCUGGUGGGAAAAACGUUAAUAAUAAUAAAAAAAAAAC